rnacentral:rRNA from 1 species
ACCAGCAGCCAUAUCACCCUGGAACUCACAACUGGCAGCCCACUGAAGCCCAGCAGGUGUGAGCCUGGUCAAUACCUGGAUGGCAGGCCUCUUGGGAAAAACUAUAGGUGCUGCUGAAU